AUUGAACGCUGGCGGCAGGCCUAACACAUGCAAGUCGCGCGGAGCGGCGGACGGGUGAGUAAUGCCUAGGAAUCUGCCUGGUAGUGGGGGAUAACGUCCGGAAACGGGCGCUAAUACCGCAUACUAUCAGAUGAGCCUAGGUCGGAUGAGCUGGUUGGUGGGGUAAAGGCCGACCAAGGCGAACAGCCGUAACUGGUCUGAGAGGAUGAUCCGUCACACUGGAACUUAGACACGGUCCAGACUCCUACGGGAGGCAGCAGUGGGGAAUAUUGCACCAUGGGCGCAAGCCUGAUGCAGCCAUGCCGCGUGUAUGAAGAAGGCCUUCGGGUUGUAAAGUACUUUCAGCGGGGAGGCGUUACCCGCAGAAGAAGCCCCGGCUAACUCCGUGCCAGCAGCCGCGGUAAUUC
rnacentral:rRNA from 1 species